rnacentral:rRNA from 1 species
AUAAUGGGUCAGCGACUUAUAUUCUGUAGCAAGGUUAACCGAAUAGGGGAGCCGAAGGGAAACCGAGUCUUAACUGGGCGUUAAGUUGCAGGGUAUAGACCCGAAACCCGGUGAUCUAGCCAUGGGCAGGUUGAAGGUUGGGUAACACUAACUGGAGGACCGAACCGACUAAUGUUGAAAAAUUAGCGGAUGACUUGUGGCUGGGGGUGAAAGGCCAAUCAAACCGGGAGAUAGCUGGUUCUCCCCGAAAGCUAUUUAGGUAGCGCCUCGUGAAUUCAUCUCCGGGGGUAGAGCACUGUUUCGGCAAGGGGGUCAUCCCGACUUACCAACCCGAUGCAAACUGCGAAUACCGGAGAAUGUUAUCACGGGAGACACACGGCGGGUGCUAACGUCCGUCGUGAAGAGGGAAACAACCCAGACCGCCAGCUAAGGUCCCAAAGUCAUGGUUAAGUGGGAAACGAUGUGGGAAGGCCCAGACAGCCAGGAUGUUGGCUUAGAAGCAGCCAUCAUUUAAAGAAAGCGUAAUAGCUCACUGGUCGAGUCGGCCUGCGCGGAAGAUGUAACGGGGCUAAACCAUGCACCGAAGCUGCGGCAGCGACGCUGAUGCGUUGUUGGGUAGGGGAGCGUUCUGUAAGCCUGCGAAGGUGUGCUGUGAGGCAUGCUGGAGGUAUCAGAAGUGCGAAUGCUGACAUAAGUAACGAUAAAGCGGGUGAAAAGCCCGCUCGCCGGAAGACCAAGGGUUCCUGUCCAACGUUAAUCGGGGCAGGGUGAGUCGACCCCUAAGGCGAGGCCGAAAGGCGUAGUCGAUGGGAAACAGGUUAAUAUUCCUGUACUUGGUGUUACUGCGAAGGGGGGACGGAGAAGGCUAUGUUGGCCGGGCGACGGUUGUCCCGGUUUAAGCGUGUAGGCUGGUUUUCCAGGCAAAUCCGGAAAAUCAAGGCUGAGGCGUGAUGACGAGGCACUACGGUGCUGAAGCAACAAAUGCCCUGCUUCCAGGAAAAGCCUCUAAGCAUCAGGUAACAUCAAAUCGUACCCCAAACCGACACAGGUGGUCAGGUAGAGAAUACCAAGGCGCUUGAGAGAACUCGGGUGAAGGAACUAGGCAAAAUGGUGCCGUAACUUCGGGAGAAGGCACGCUGAUAUGUAGGUGAAGUCCCUCGCGGAUGGAGCUGAAAUCAGUCGAAGAUACCAGCUGGCUGCAACUGUUUAUUAAAAACACAGCACUGUGCAAACACG